CCGGGAUUUGCAGGCUCCCGGGGGUGGCGCCCGCCACCGAGACGGUGUCCGUCCAAGGCCUGC
rnacentral:ncRNA from 1 species